CUAUGGAAAUAAGAAACUGCCUGACUAAAAAGGACUAAUUAUUUCUUCAGCAGCUGAAUGUCUCAGCCUUGCAUGAGGGCAAGGACAAAUGCUCUGCACCCACCCUUGGCCCGUCUGGUAUUUGAUGGAACUCAUGAAAGUGGGUGAACCUAACUUGCCCCUCUUCUAUAGGAUGCAGUGAAUGCAUAUGUGACUGUGACUUUUCAGAGAAGGAAACCGAGGCUUACAGAAGCUCUGUGUGAUCACAUUUCCACAAUUCACA